GCUGCAAUGUACACUUCUAUGGCUGCAAUGCAACCUAUUGGCCGCUAGGUGGCGCUAUGGUCAAUGUAACCCUAUGGGCUCAAUUUAACCCUAUGGCUGCAAUGUAACCCUAUGGCCGCUAGGUGGCGCUGUGACUCAAUGUAACUCUAUGGGCUCAAUGUAACCCUAUGGCCGCAAUGUAACCCAAUGUUGGAGGACUCCCCCUAGUGUGCGCUUGACUCAAUGUACUUAUGGCUGCAAU
rnacentral:lncRNA from 1 species